AUUGAACGCUGGCGGCAGGCCUAACACAUGCAAGUCGAGCGAGCGGCGGAGGGGUGAGUAAUGUAUGGGGACUGCCCGAUAGCGGGGGAUAACUACUGGAAACGGUGGCUAAUACCGCAUACUAUCGGAUAACCCAUAUGGGAUUAGCGAGUAGGUGGGGUAAAGGCUCACCUAGGCAACGAUCUCUAGCUGGUCUGAGAGGAUGAUCGGCCACACGGGGACGGAGACACGGCCCAGACUCCUACGGAGGCAGCAGUGGGGAAUAUUGCACAAUGGGCGCAAGCCUGAUGCAGCCAUGCCGCGUGUGUGAAGAAGGCCUUAGGGUUGUAAAGUACUUUCAGCAGGGAGGCGUUACCCACAGAGGAAGCACCGGCUAACUCCGUGCCAGCAGCCGCGGUAAUAC
rnacentral:rRNA from 1 species